UACGUAGGGCGCAAGCGUUGUCCGGAAUUAUUGGGCGUAAAGAGCUCGUAGGUGGCUUGUCGCGUCUGUCGUGAAAGCCCGGGGCUUAACUCCGGGUCUGCGGUGGAUACGGGCAGGCUAGAGGCAGGUGGGGGAGAAUGGAAUUCCCGGUGUAGCGGUGAAAUGCGCAGAUAUCGGGAGGAACACCGGUGGCGAAGGCGGCAAACUGGUCCUUGACUGACGCUGAGGCGCGAAAGCGUGGGGAGCAAACAGG
rnacentral:rRNA from 1 species